GCCAGGAGGGCGGUCUGGCUGCCACAGUCACCCCACUGAUCGCAGGGCUGACGUGGCGGAUCCGGCCGGCCGGGCAGGGUCCUCUUCUCCCUCACCGCUGCAUGCGCUCCCUCCCGAAGCUGCGUGCUCGGUGGAAGAGGACUCCCUCAUAGAGAAGCUGCAUUCCCCGCUAGAACCUCCAAACCAGCUCUCAGAAAUCAAGGGGAGAAGACUUUCCCAAAUCAAACAGAGAGCCCAUUGCCACCAGACCUGUCUUAUAAG
rnacentral:snRNA from 1 species